rnacentral:tRNA from 1 species
GGCAUCGUAGUGUAGUGGUUAAGCACUUGGGAUUUUGAGGAGUCUGCAUAGGCUUGCGUAGUCUCGUAAUUUCCCACAACCCAGGUUCGAACCCUGGCGACGCCU